CUAGGCACGUGGGUGCCAAGUAGUCCCAGUUACUCUGGAGAUAGGUGGGAAGAUCUCUUGAGUCCAGAAGUUCUGGGCUGUAGUGCAUUCUGCCAAUCGGGUAUCUGCACUAAGUUUGGCAUCAAUAUGGUGACUUCCUGGGAGUGGGGGACCACCAGAUUCCCUAAGAAGGGGUGAACCAUCCCAGGUUGGAAACAAAGCAGGUCAAAAACCCCCUACAAAUAGUCAGGAGUGGUGCUUGACUUGUACCGGAGAUUCAAAUGCUAGUUCUCUUCCCACCUC
rnacentral:SRP_RNA from 1 species